GAUUGAUUGAAUGUAAUUUGAGUUAAGUCCCUCCAACAUUCGAAUGCCUUACACUAAGUACUUGUUUCCCUAAACAUUGAAUUGAUAAUUUGCUUUGAAAUUGUAACAGUUUCGUCUUCAGUUAGACAGUUUUCGAGAAUACUUUCUAAAGUAUAACAUUUUAUUGUGUCUGAUUGAUUGGUUUUUCUCCAGACCUUCAGGGGAGCUGCUCAAGUGAACUCAUAAGUAUCUGCAAAAUGUAAUAGUUUCUGAAAAUGGGCAAAACUUGUUUUUAUAUUAUUUGGUUAAUAACAUGUAACUUGAACCUUGAUGAUAUGGUGUGCUGUACAAAAGUUAUAUUCCACAGAACACAUGUACACUCAUGUGUACUUUGUUGAGUAUGAAGCUAAAAAUACACACGAAAAAAACAUUGG
rnacentral:lncRNA from 1 species